AGUCAAGUAAUUAAGUGCAUGUGGUGGAUGCCUUGGCAGUCAGAGGCGAUGAAAGACGUGAUAGCCUGCGAAAAGCUCCGGGGAGGCGGCAAAUAUCCUUUGAUCCGGAGAUGUCUGAAUGGGGGAACCCACCUACUUUAAGGUAGGUAUUGCAACAUGAAUACAUAGUGUUGCAAGGCGAACGAGGGGAAGUGAAACAUCUCAGUACCCUUAGGAAAAGAAAUCAAUUGAGAUUCCCUCAGUAGCGGCGAGCGAACGGGGAUCAGCCCAUUAAGUUAUGUGUGUUUUAGUGGAACGCUCUGGGAAGUGCGAACGUAGAGGGUGAUAUUCCCGUACACGAAAGGGCACACAUAAUGAUGACGAGUAGGGCGAGGCACGUGAAACCUUGUCUGAAUAUGGGGGGACCAUCCUCCAAGGCUAAAUACUCCUGACUGACCGAUAGUGAACCAGUACCGUGAGGGAAAGGCGAAAAGAACCCCUGUGAGGGGAGUGAAAUAGAUCCUGAAACCGCAUGCAUACAAGCAGUGGGAGCACCUUCGUGGUGUGACUGCGUACCUUUUGUAUAAUGGGUCAGCGACUUAUAUUCAGUAGCGAGGUUAACCGUAUAGGGGAGCCGUAGAGAAAUCGAGUCUUAAUAGGGCGUUUAGUUGCUGGGUAUAGACCCGAAACCAGGCGAUCUAUCCAUGAGCAGGUUGAAGGUUGGGUAACACUAACUGGAGGACCGAACCCACUGUCGUUGAAAAGCCAGGGGAUGACUUGUGGAUAGGGGUGAAAGGCUAAUCAAGCCUGGUGAUAGCUGGUUCUCCCCGAAAGCUAUUUAGGUAGCGCCUCGGACGAAUACCAUAGGGGGUAGAGCACUGUUUCGGCUAGGGGGUCAUCCCGACUUACCAAACCGAUGCAAACUCCGAAUACCUAUGAGUACUAUCCGGGAGACAGACUGCGGGUGCUAACGUCCGUAGUCAAGAGGAAAACAAUCCAGACCGCCAGCUAAGGCCCCAAAAUCAUAGUUAAGUGGGAAACGAUGUGGGAAGGCAUAGACAGCUAGGAGGUUGGCUUAGAAGCAGCCACCCUUUAAAGAAAGCGUAAUAGCUCACUAGUCGAGUCGGCCUGCGCGGAAGAUGUAACGGGGCUAAAACUAUGUGCCGAAGCUGCGGAUGUAUACUUUGUAUACGUGGUAGGGGAGCGUUCUGUAAGCCGAUGAAGGUGUGUUGAGAAGCAUGCUGGAGGUAUCAGAAGUGCGAAUGCUGACGUGAGUAACGACAAAACGGGUGAAAAACCCGUUCGCCGAAAGACCAAGGGUUCCAGUCCAACGUUAAUCGGGGCUGGGUGAGUCGACCCCUAAGGCGAGGCCGAAAGGCGUAGUCGAUGGGAAAAUGGUUAAUAUUCCAUUACUUCUGUGUAAUGCGAUGAGAGGACGGAGAAGGCUAAAUCAGCCUGGCGUUGGUUGUCCAGGUGAAAGGAUGUAGGCAUGUAUCUUAGGCAAAUCCGGGGUACUCUAUGCUGAGAUCUGAUAGCAAGCUGUACUUGUACAGCGAAGUGGUUGAUGCCAUGCUUCCAGGAAAAGUCUCUAAGCUUCAGUUACACAGGAAUCGUACCCGAAACCGACACAGGUGGUCAGGUCGAGUAGACCAAGGCGCUUGAGAGAACUCUGCUGAAGGAACUAGGCAAAAUGGUACCGUAACUUCGGGAGAAGGUACGCUGUUGUUGGUGAUGGAACUGCUUCCUGAGCUGACGACAGCCGCAGAAACCAGGCCGCUGCAACUGUUUAUUAAAAACAUAGCACUCUGCAAACACGAAAGUGGACGUAUAGGGUGUGAUGCCUGCCCGGUGCUGGAAGGUUAAUUGAUGGGGUUAGCGUAAGCGAAGCUCUUGAUCGAAGCCCCAGUAAACGGCGGCCGUAACUAUAACGGUCCUAAGGUAGCGAAAUUCCUUGUCGGGUAAGUUCCGACCUGCACGAAUGGCAUAAUGAUGGCGGCGCUGUCUCCAGCAGAGGCUCAGUGAAAUCGAAAUCGCUGUGAAGAUGCAGUGUACCCGCGGCUAGACGGAAAGACCCCGUGAACCUUUACUGCAGCUUGACACUGAACUUUGACCUUACUUGUGUAGGAUAGGUGGGAGGCUUUGAAGCUGGAACGCUAGUUCCAGUGGAGCCGUCCUUGAAAUACCACCCUGGUAAUGUUGAGGUUCUAACUCUGUCCCGUGAUCCGGGACGAGGACCGUGUCUGGUGGGUAGUUUGACUGGGGCGGUCUCCUCCUAAAGAGUAACGGAGGAGUACGAAGGUGCGCUCAGCGUGGUCGGAAAUCACGCGUAGAGUAUAAAGGCAAAAGCGCGCUUAACUGCGAGACCCACAAGUCGAGCAGGUACGAAAGUAGGUCUUAGUGAUCCGGUGGUUCUGUAUGGAAGGGCCAUCGCUCAACGGAUAAAAGGUACUCUGGGGAUAACAGGCUGAUACCGCCCAAGAGUUCAUAUCGACGGCGGUGUUUGGCACCUCGAUGUCGGCUCAUCUCAUCCUGGGGCUGAAGCAGGUCCCAAGGGUAUGGCUGUUCGCCAUUUAAAGAGGUACGCGAGCUGGGUUUAGAACGUCGUGAGACAGUUCGGUCCCUAUCUACCGUGGGCGCUGGAAAUUUGAGAGGAUCUGCUCCUAGUACGAGAGGACCAGAGUGGACGAACCUCUGGUGUACCGGUUGUGACGCCAGUCGCAUCGCCGGGUAGCUAUGUUCGGAAGGGAUAACCGCUGAAAGCAUCUAAGCGGGAAGCCUACCUCAAGAUAAGAUUUCCCUAGGACUUUAUGUCCUCUAAAGAGCCGUUCGAGACUAGGACGUUGAUAGGUUGGAUGUGGAAGCAUAGUGAUAUGUGAAGCUGACCAAUACUAAUUGCUCGUGAGGCUUGACUAUACAACACCC
rnacentral:rRNA from 1 species